UGAGCAAGCCAGGUGAUCGCGUGUGCAGGCCGAAAGGCCGUAUACGAGGAAAGUCCGGGCUCCACAGGGCAGGGUGCCGGGUAACUCCCGGUCAAGGCGACUUGAAGGAAAGUGCAACAGAAAUAAACCGCCUUAACGGGAAAACGCAGAGAAAUUUUCCAAUGGAAAAUUUUAAAGUGUUUUCUCCUGAGGUAAGGGUGGAAAGGCGAGGUAAAAGCUCACCGGUUCCCUGGCGACAGGGAACGCUCUGUAAACCCCACCUGGAGCAACACCGUGAUGAGGACGCACUGGCUGCCCGCCAGUCCUCAGAGGUGGCUUGAGCCGCGCAGUAAUGCCCGGCCUAGAUAGAUGAUCAUCCAAUACAGAACCCGGCUUACAGGCUUACUCAAUAA
rnacentral:RNase_P_RNA from 1 species